GUGCCUGUAGCUCAGCUGGAUAGAGCAGCGGCCUUCUAAGCCGCGUGUCGGGGGUUCGAAUCCCUCCAGGCAUGCCA
rnacentral:tRNA from 1 species